GGGUGCCUGAGACUGUUUGUCUCAGGUAUUCACUAAAAGGCAGACAGAGAAAAGCCCCACCUGACUAUAAAUCAAAAGUGCACUGCACCCAUUAUUGAUCUCUUCAAUAACGAAGCGAUCUCCUGCUGUAUUUCAGAACGUCCAACCAUG
rfam:Salmonella enterica subsp. enterica serovar Macclesfield str. S-1643 chromosome, complete genome.